GCGACUCCUCCUCCUAUGCCUCGCGCUCGCCGGCGGCACCGCUGCCCUCGACCCUGGCCUUCCCUCCCCCAGUAAGCGCGCACCAUUCCGAAGCGUCUACCUACUUCGAUUUGGUUUGGUUAUUAUUAAAGCAUCUAUGUGGAUCCCGGUUCGAUUAUCUGAAGAAAAAGCUGGCUUCCAGGUUUCGAUUUAAAGGGCAUUUCGUCUGGGAUCUCUUCCUGGUGUUUUCGAGAUGGGCAAUCAGUUCCUUCAAUCAAUUCCUUCAAGAAACACAUGCACCACACUGGGCACAGGCCAUGUCAUAUAUCUUUUGGGAUAGGGGUGAUGACAAGCAUUGGAACCCAGCGCGGUCGCCCGUAGCGUGGAUACUUUCUCUUUUAGAAGUUUUUAUUGAUUUUAGGCUUGGCCCUGGUUGUUUCUUCCUCAGUUUGUCCCAUCCCACUUAGAGGCUGCAUCAAUGUUUAAGAUCAUUGCCAUAUCUUCCUUGUUUAGGAAUCAGUUAUAUACCUUUUUUUCUUUGUAGAAAUCAACCGCUCAUCUCAUUAUUUUUGUUGGUACAUUAUCGUGUGGAUAGAUGUUGGUUUGAUGCCUAAAAAGAGCAGAUGUGGUGAUGCAAUUGGGGCUAGGGUGAGUGUCUAUUGCGGCAUUAAGAUAGCAUGCAAUCAUGGCUACAACUACUGGUUUUUGUCUUUUGUGAAGUUAUCUUGUACAUCGGUGCAAUUAGUGCUCAUGCAUACAUCAUGUAGGAUUGCG
rnacentral:lncRNA from 1 species